CCAUAAUCAGUACGACAUAGUUUGCCCAACGAGAAGGUUUGUUCGGACGGGUGUUUUGCAUUCUGUGGCUACUAGACUAUUAUUUGACAAAUAUUUAACUUGUUAUUGCUGUUAAUCCUGUGUGGUGUUUGUUAUUUGACUGUUCUCUUAAAGCAACACCCAGAAAAAAGAAGAUUCUUUAAAUUGUUAAGAAACCCCGCGAAAAAAAACCAAAUAUAAUAAAAAAGUAAGGCAACACAAAUAAUACUUUGCCGAAAGCAGUUUCAAAAA
rnacentral:sRNA from 1 species